rnacentral:tRNA from 1 species
GCCGGGGUGGCAGAGCGGUAAUGCGCCGGCCUCGAGAGCCGGUGGGCCUCGGCCCUCAGGGGUUCAAAUCCUCUCCCCGGCG